rnacentral:rRNA from 1 species
UACGUAGGGAGCGAGCGUUAUCCGGAUUUAUUGGGCGUAAAGGGUGCGUAGGCGGCUUAUUAAGUAUGAAAUUAAAUCCCGGGGCUUAACUCCGGUCCGUUUUAUAAACUGGUAAGCUUGAGUAUGGAAGAGGUAAACGGAAUUUCUAGUGUAGCGGUGGAAUGCGUAGAUAUUAGAAGGAACACCAGUGGCGAAGGCGGUUUACUGGGCCAUUACUGACGCUGAGGCACGAAAGCGAGGGGAGCAAAUA